GUUUGGGCCAGGAAGGAGUCGCCCCACUGCGGGAAGAUACCUUCUUGAAACAAAAAAAAUUUUCCUACCUGCUCAUACUUGGUGACAGAGGGGUUACUAAGACUCCCUUCUUGCUCAUUUCUGAGUAUUGUCUGAACUAUUCCUGACACUAUGAAUGCUGUUUGGAUGCCUCUUAAGGUAAGAUGUGUGUGGGUUUUUUUGUUUGUUUGUUUGUUUGUUUGUUUGUUUUUAAUUAAAGGUCUCACUGUAUUUCUUUUUCUUUAGAAUUGAGGAUUUUUCUAAUUCUUGAAUUUGCAGUUCGCCUUUCCCUUGAAAAAACUGCUGUUGUGUUUGCUUCUGAGGAUUGAUCAGUUCCUCUUUACUUUGUGUUGCUACUGUUCUUAACUACUGAUAUUCUCAGAUUACAAUAAUGUGUUUAUUUUUUGACUUUAAAUUAUGACAGCCUACAAAAUUAUAAAACUGUGUUCCCAAUCUCAGUAGGAUGGAUUGGCAAUUCAAACAGCCAGGUCCACUUUCAAACGAGUGCUUUAGUGUCAUAGGUGCUAGGGUGUGUCCCACUCUUGCAAAUCUGAAGCUGAUUCAUGUGUUACAAAAGAUGUGUCACUAACCAUUUGUUUACUCUGAAACUUCAUUUUAGUAUAUUAGAACAUUCUAAGACCUGUUCCUCUACGUGUAUAGUCUGUCGGAGGGUUCUCCUGCUACUUCCUAGUCCUUUGCAUGUGAAUUUAUACUAUUUUUCUCAACAGGUAGCACUUUGUGCCAAUUUUCAUCUCAUAGGAUAAACCUCUUUGGGGCAGUGUGGACAAAUGAAAAAGCUCUUAUUGAUGUGGUGGUUCUCCAGUCUCUUGGUUACUUCUAGUUUCUUGUACGUAGAUGGCCAAAGGACUCUCUCCACUAGAACUAAGCAGAGGACAAAGCUUAAGAUACAUGUAGGGAGGAAACAGGGAGGGAGGAUGGAGAGAAAAGAUAUGGAAUGAUGCAAGGCCCCCACCAGCUUUACCAGGUGGUACAGGUUGCCUUCUUCUGGAGCUAGAUUCUAGUGUGGCUAAGAUUGUUUUGUGGUAAUCUGCUCUGUGGAAUUCCAAAUUAAUGCAGUGAAUAAAUCAGAGGUUAAUGCAGUCUCUAUAAACUAAAUAUUUGGAUUGUGGGAAAUUUUUAGGUAAAUAUAGACCGAGUUAUCAUCUUCAUUUGUGUUCUGACUGCUAUUGUUGGAUAAGGAGAGCUUAUAUUAAUAUGAAGGAAGCCAGAGUGACACCGUUUUUCCAGCUACUCUCCCUGUAGAGUUGGAGGGGUUGCAUGGGGAACCAAGCCAGAAGUCCUGAACCCAUAUGAAUUGGAGGACCGUGUACAAGAAUAUUUCUCUUUGGUAUUGAGUGUUUAGUGCCAGGACCUGGCAGCCUCUGUUACUUUUAGGAAGAAGGCAAGGGGAUAUCAACAGGUACUAGUUCCCUAGAAACCCAAGGAACUGGGGAUCAAUACGUUAGAUUUUAUUUUACAGUCACCUUGGUUUUAACUAAUAAAUUAGAUACAUAGAGGCCUGCUUUUUCUAUGCAUGUAUCUGUAGCUAUGAUAGCUAUAGCUAUGUAUAGUGAUUAAAAUUUUACCUCUAAACCUCUGAACCUGGGAUAAGUUCGACAGUAACCCUUGAAAUUGUAGCAAAGGCCUGUGGCAUGACAGGAAUACAGAGUGAAGGCAGUGCUCCAUACCCUGUGAGUUAUCACUUGUUAACUACUUGUUAAUGAUGUGGCUGCCUUAACUUAAUUCUUUGAUCAGUGGAAGACCUCUUCUGAGUCUAAAUACAUUUUUUAUUUGCUAACAUUUUUCCCUCUCCUUUUAUGACUUUAAAAACCUUAACAGCUGUAAUGUUUGGUUUGGGCAAGGGGAAAAAGGAGCUUUUUUAAGGAUAAGAGGAUGGCAUUGAAUUUGCAGGAUGAAAAAUAAAAAGAGAAGGAACUUUUUUCAGUUGUGAAUACUUCUAAAAUGUUUCUAGAAUGUGUUUUCAGAUUGCAGCUACUUAUUUUUAUGUUAGAAAAAAGGUAUACUCUGGAGCCAAAAUACUCAUUUUCUAUAGUUCUUAUGCUUUGUUUCUUAUCAUCUCAUUCAUAAUGAACUCUAUCCGGCAUUACUCAAAGGCUAGACCCAAGUGUGUGCUUGUUUUUGUUUCCAGGCUUAGAGAAAAUAGUGCCAAUACUCAUCCUUUUCAAGAACCAAAGUACCAAAGGAAACAUAAAGAAAAACAACUCCAAACAAAACUCCUCAAUUUAAGGCACUCUUGUUAAUUAUGAAUUCCCAUGGAAAUUAGUUACCCUUUUCUCUUUAUAUCAUGGGUCUGCAGCUUCUUUAUUGCUGUCCAUGACUAAGCAGUAUCAGUGAUGUUUGAUGUUCUUAGGUCAGUUGUCAGGAUUAGGGCAUGGAUGAGAUGGGAGAAGAACAGAGAGGAGGAGAAUUAGGUGCAUUGGUGAAAGGAGCAAAGAAGAUGAGAUGGAGAAAGGAGAUGGAUGGUCCUUGGUGUGUGAUAUGGUGCUGCCAUCAGCUGUCUCAGAUAGCUCUUUGGGACUGCUGGUUGCCUGUGUGCUAGACUGAACUGUAAUGAAAGCAAGUAAAAAGUAUUCUUGACAAACAAAAAGAUGUAAUUAAAAGAUAAUUCAGUGUGAUAUGGAAAGACCUCCAAAAUAUACAGUUAAGUGAUAAAAGCAAGAUGCAGAACUGUGCGUGUGAUAUGUUACCCUUUGUGUUCUCUGAAAACGAAGGAGGAAAGAAAAUUUGUAUGGGAUUUUUUUUUUUUUCUUUUUAGGACCACACCUGCAGCAUAUGGAGGUUCCCAGGCUAGGGGUCCAGUCGGAGCUACAGCUGCCAGCCUACACCAGAGCCACAGCAACGCGGGAUCUGAGCCAUGUCUGCUACCUACACCAUAGCUCAUGGCAAUGCUGGAUUGUUAACCCACUGAGCAAGGGCAGAGAUCGAACCCGCAACCUCAUGGUUCCUAGUCGGAUUCGUUAACCACUGG
rnacentral:lncRNA from 1 species